GACGAACGCUGGCGGCAGGCCUAACACAUGCAAGUCGAACGCCCUGGCAACAGGGAGUGGCAGACGGGUGAGUAACGCGUGGGAACGUGCCCUUCGGUUCGGAAUAACUCAGGGAAACUUGAGCUAAUACCGGAUACGUGCGAGAGCAGAAAGAUUUAUCGCCGAAGGAUCGGCCCGCGUCCGAUUAGCUAGUUGGUGAGGUAACGGCUCACCAAGGCGACGAUCGGUAGCUGGUCUGAGAGGAUGAUCAGCCACACUGGGACUGAGACACGGCCCAGACUCCUACGGGAGGCAGCAGUGGGGAAUAUUGGACAAUGGGCGCAAGCUUGAUCCAGCCAUGCCGCGUGAGUGAUGAAGGCCCUAGGGUUGUAAAGCUCUUUCGCCAGGGACGAUAAUGACGGUACCUGGAUAAGAAGCCCCGGCUAACUUCGUGCCAGCCGCCGCCGUAA
rnacentral:rRNA from 1 species